GCAGGCUCCAGGGCCUUACCAACGAAUGGAUCUGGGGUUAGCAACAGAGGAGGCAGUGAGCCUGCAGGACUGCUGCCAGCCCACAGCACGCAGGGUGAGAAUUAGACAAAGACACUCAGGGUGGCUGGCUCGGUUUCAGCCUCCUCUCAUCCCCUGGGUUGAAUGCCCACAUGCAGGGCACAACCUGAACAGCCGUUCUGAAAGGGACUGACAAUGCUACGCUUUGUUUUGAGGAAGGAUUUCUGAGGACUUCCUAUCUCGACCUUCAGCCUUGGAAGUUUCAGGGGACUUUGUGCAGCCUGGGAGGGCUGUGCUAGCCGUGACCUCACAAGGGAUCCCAGGCCUUUAUGCUACUACAAUUAGCCAAGAGCCAAGGUAACACGCUAGGUGACUCCAACAGUGAACAGGGGAGAAAAGGCAGACUUUAAGGGAUACAAGUUAAAAUAAACAAGAAAACAUAUAUAAGCACAUCUUUUCAAAUCUUUUUUUUGGUUUGUUUUUUCUUUAAAAGGAGCAUACCGACUUAAAUUCCAGAAAUUCCAUUCCUUUGGCAACUUGAUAUGCAAAGCAAAGAAGAUCUUCAAAUUACCAGCCCCAGGCCUGCUGCUGCAGAAAGAAUGAACCUUGGGCACAUCAUUUGGGUAUUUCUAGGCAGAAGAGAGAAGAUCAGAGGGCAUGCCCCAGAGAAUUCUGGGAAAGUAAAGUCUGAUAUCCUAGCUAGGCUGUGCCGUAUUUGACGGCAGCCCAACUGGGGCAGUGGCCAGGCUCUGUAACCACUCUCACCACGCCUGUGCACCAGCUUCCAAGCUGGGAGAGAAGCACAGACACCACCAAAUGUACUUGCAAUGUUGUUGUUGUUGUUGUUUUUAAGCAGGUGAGAAUUAUGCAAUAUAUCACGAUAAAGCAGAUGAAUGAGGCAUUCUUUAUUUUGACCCCUCUGAUUUAUAGAGUGCUCAGUGUCUAAUUCCACUUGGGUUUGAGAGUUCACACUGUGACUGAGAAAAGACAAAGAAUUAAAAAGAGAGAGAGAGAGAGAGAGAGCAAACAUCCUCUUUGUCAUCAAGCUACAGUCUUUUUGAUGAGGUGAUUUUCGUGGAAGUGGGUUACCUGACAGUGUGCACGCCCCCAGCAGGUUCACAAUAUUCUCGUGGCUUCCCAGCUGGGUCAUCAUCUUGAGUUCUGACAUGAGUGCCUCUCUUUCAGAGCUGUCUGCUUUUUCUGUCAAAGAAAGGAGCAUUAAAAAUGUAAAACUCAAGUAAAAUACGAAUUUUAUGUCAUUAAAUAAAAUUUUUCUCAGCUCAGAGUCAAUCUGCAUUAUUUAUUUAAAUUCAAAAUUAUGAGAGAAGCCAGGCAUGGUGGGUCAUGCCUGUAAUCCCAGCACUUUGGGAGGCCGAGGUGGGUGGAUCACUUGAGGUCAGAAGUUCAAGACUGGCCUGGCCAAUAUGGUGAAACCUCGUCUCUACUAAAAAUACAAAAAUUAGCCAGGCGUGGUGGCAGGCACCUGUAAUCCCAGCUACUUGGGAGGAUGAGGCAGGAGAAUCGCUUGAAUGUGGGAGGCAGAGGUUGCAAUUAGCUGAGACUGCACCAUUGCACUCCAGCCUGGGCAACAAGAGUGAAACUCCAUCUUAAAAUAAAUAAAUAAAUAAACAAACAAACAAUAUCCUGUGUUUUAAGACAGAAUUUCUCCUUUUUCUUUUUUUUUUUUCCUUUUCUUUCUUUCUUUUUUUUUGACACAGUAUCUCACUCUGUCACCCAGGCUGGAGUGUAGUGACAUGAUCUCAGCUUACUGUAGCCUCUGCCUCCUGGGCUCAAGUGAUCCUCCUACCUCAGCCCUCCAAGUUACUGGUACUACAAGCACAGGCCAUCAUGCCCAGCUAAUUUUUAUAUUUUUUGUAGAGAUGGGGUCUCACCAUGUUGCCCAGGCUGGUCUUGAACUCCUAGAUUCAAGCAAUCCUCCCAACUCCGCCUCCCAAAGUGCUGGGAAUACAGGCAUGAGCCACCAUGCCCAGCCUAAGGCAGAAUUCAGACUGUAGUAUAGGGCUGGGCGCAGUGGCUCACACCUGUAAUCCCAACACUUUGGGAGGCCAAGGCGGGUGGAUCACUUAAGGUCAGGAGUUGAAGACCAACCUGGCCAACAUGGUGAAACCCUGUCUCUACUAAACAUACAAAAAAUUAGCCGGGCGUGCCGGUGCGUACCUGUAAUUCCAGCUACUCAGGAGGAUGAGGCAAAAGAAUCCCUUGAACUGGGGAGGCAGAGGUUGCAGUGAGCCGAGAUUGAGCCCCUGCACCACUCCAGCCUGGGUGACAGAGCGAGACUCUGUCUCAAAAACAAAACAAAACAAAACAAAACAAAGACUAUAGUAUAAAUGUUGAAUCUGGUAAUGCACCUUUCAACAGGACUUUCCUCUACCUACCAAAAUAAAAAUCCUUACAGUUGGCCCUCAAAACAAACAAACAAAAUAAUAACACAUGCUUUUCCUCCUCAGUACAAGUUAACAGAAGGGAGAAACGUCCUUUUUGUUUGUUUGUUUGAACUCUUGGAUCUGUUGUAGUCAGAGAGAGAUAACAGUGUCGUGAGCAUGGUUGACUCUAGCCUGUGGCCCUCAGGUCUAGAACAUUAGAUUUGCCAGCAAGUCCAAUGGGAGAAGGUCAAAGAGGACUAAUUCCCACUAUCAGGUGCUCAAGAGACCCAUUAAUUGACAUUGAGAAAUAAAACUGCCAAGCAGGCUAGAACAUAUUGGUUGGCCAAUGCAUUCUCUCUCUAGGGAAAAUUCCAGAUAGCUCAGCAAACUGUACUUAUAAGCUGACUUAGAAGCACAGUGUGAGGAAAGUCACUAUGGAAUCCAAGGGCUCCCGUCAUUGCGGCUCAUGUGCAGUUGGUCAGGGCAGCCCGGGCAGCCACAGGGGCAAGGGCAGGGUCUCUGGACUUCCCUCUCCAGGCUCCAGGCACCACCCCUCUGUGAACAGACUUUUUCUUCCAGAUAUAGUAACUCUUCUUUACAUUCAGUGAAGAUUUGGUUCGAUUGCCAGGUUCCAUUAUUUUGUCCAGGAAGGCAUCCUAACCUUUAUAGUGGCUUCUCCGGUGCUGACAUCCUCUAUUUUGGUUUGGGCAAGCUCUCAGGGGUAUCCUUGUUUCCAAGAUUUUAGCUUGGGGGUGGGAUUUCCUGUGGGCACUGGGACCCCCUAAUACAUCAUGUCUUCAGCUUCACGCUGGACAGGGAUUCGGGGCUUUACUUGUUCAUGUCCUAUUCCUCAUGGCUAAAAUAAUAUCUUACAUUUUUUAGCAUGCUUAGCUUCUUCUAAGCAUUUUCAUGUACCAUUACCUCUUUCAUUCAGUCAUUCAACAAGUAUUUAUUGAGUGCCUACUCUGUAAGAGCCAAUGUCCUAGACACUGGGGAAUGAAGGAAAAACAAGACACAACCCUUGUCUUCCUGGAUCUUAGAGUCUCCUGGAGAAGGCAGAGAAGUAAAUAAGCCAUGACAAUACAGUGCCAUAAAUGCAAUACGGCAGGCAAGACGUGGGUCCCCGCGCCUCUAAUCCCAACAUCUUGGGAGGCUGAGACAAGCGGGAGAAUUGCUGGUACCCAGAAGUUCAAGAAAGGCCCGGGCAAAAUAGCAAGAGCUUGUCUCUACUUAAAAAUAAAAUAAAGUAAAAAUACAUAAAUAAAUAAAAUAAAAUAAAAUAAAAAUUAGCUGGGCUUGGUGGUGCCUGCAUGUAGUUCCAGUUACUGGAAAGGCUGCAGACCAUCACUUGAGCCCAGGACUUGAAGCUUGCCGUGAGCUAUGAUGACUUCACUGCACUCCAGCCUGGGUGACAGAGUGAGACCCUAUCUCAAAAAAAGAAAAAAGAAAGAAAAAGAAAAAAUGCAACGUUGGGCUGGGCACGGUGGCUCAUGCCUGUAAUCCCAGCACUUUGGGAGGCUGAGACAGGCGGAUCACGAGGUCAGGAGAUCAAGACCAUCCUGGCUAACACGGUGAAACUCUGUCUCUACUAAAAAUACAAAAAAAUUUAGCCGGGCGUGGUGGUGGGUGCCUGUAGUCCCAGCUGCUAGGGAGGCUGAGGCAGGAGAAUGGCGUGAACCCAGGAGGCGGAGCUUACAGUGAGCUGAGAUGGUGCCACUGCACUCCAGCCUGGGCGACAGAGUGAGACUCCGUCUCAAAAAAAGAAGAAAAAAUGCAACGUGGCAAAGGAGUGCAGGGGUACUGUAGGGUCAAAAGGGAUAGCUACCUUAGCCUUGGAGGGGUGGAGAAAGGAGCAUUCAAUGUCUAAACUGAGUCCUGAAGAAAAAUGGGAGCUGGCCAGGUGACUCAUGGUGGAAGGGGAGGAGAACAGUGCUGAGGGUUGUGAAAGAGUGGGCAAAGGUCGAGAAAGGAGAGAGCACAGCACCACAGACACAGACCCUGCCCUCAUGAGGCACAGGGGCUACUGGACAGAUGGGACAACAAUUGGAUGUUAAAAAAUGUCAUGACAAAGGUGAUGGAUUCUACGGGGGAAAGCCUGCAGAGAGCUAAUGUCGCACAUUGCAAGGGCCUCAAUAUUGUCUGUGGUGUGAGACAGAGGAAGUGGUGUUUAAGCUGAGAUCUGAGGGGGCAGUGGGAGAUACUUACAUGAAAGGGGAAGGGGAAGCAGAAGGAUCCACUUGUGCAAAGGCCCCACAGUGGGUGGGAGGACAGUGCUGGGGGAACUGAAAGAAGGCCAGCGCUCUGGGGUGCCGAGAGCAAGAGGUGGGGAGGCAGCGGUGGCCCAGCCAUGCGGGUGGUGGAGGAAAUGUGAAGUAGGAAAGCCAUUUGAUCUGCUUAGCCUUUCGCCACUGUCACUUGGACCUCAGUAUGGAGAAGCCAAAGGGAGGCAAGAGUGGAUACAGGAACCUGCUUUGGAAGCUUUUGUCCAGGAGAGAGCCUUGAACUAGAGUGGUGGUCAUAGAGAUGGAGGGACGAGGAUGGAAUCAAGAGACACUAAUCGGAAACCUGAUAGGAUUAGCUCACAGGGUGUUAGAAAGAGGAAGGUGUCAAGGAAAAGUCACGGGUUUCUAGUGUGCCCAACUAUAUAGAAUGUGGUUAUUUAUUCACUGGCAUUCAUUACCAGUCACAGAGAGGACUGCUGGUGCAGGGCCAGGGUUAGGGGAAUUCACCUUGCAUACACUGUGUUAAAGGGACCUUUGAGACAUCCAAACAUUUAACAUAUGAACCUGAAGCUCCGAAAGGAGACGCAAGCAUGAGGGCCCUUGGUGUAUGGGAGGACAUCACGGGUGUAGUGGGGAUGGACUGUGUUGAGUGUGUGGAGCGAAAACGCAAGGCGGUCCAGGAGCAAGCCCACAGGGAUGCCCCAUAAAAAGCUGGAUGGAGCCUGGGCAACAUGGCGAAGCCCCAUCUCUACCAAAAAUACAAAAAUUAGCCAGGCAUGGUGGCGCAUGCCUGUAGUCCCCCCUACUCAGGGGCCUGAAGUGGGAGGAUGGCUUGAGCCUGGGAAGUGGAGGUUGCAGUGAGCUGAGAUCACACCACUGCACUCCAGCCUGGGCAACAGAGCAAGGCUGUGUUUCAAAAUCAGCCACAACAACAAAAGCUGGAUGGAAGAAGAUGAGCCCACAAAGGACUGAGUUUCAAAAUCAGCCACAACAACAAAAGCUGGAUGGAAGAAGAUGAGCCCACAAAGGACUGAGAAGGGCAGAGGGGUGGGAGGAAAACCAGAAUAUGGUGACACAAAACCCAAAGAAAGAAAGCUUCUGGAUGGAGAGAAGAAUCAACAGCAUCAAUUCAUGCUGAACAAUCAAGUAAUGAGGACUGAAAAAUAUCCAUUAGGCUUGGUUUGGUUUGAAGUCACUGUUGACCUUAGCAAGAGAGCCAGCUGGAGAUGCUUUUGCUGGGUCAGCGGUGGUAACGGUGAGGCCAGCAAUGGGGCUGGACGCCAGAUCGGAAUGGAUGGAGCAACGAAGUGAGGAUACAAAGGGCCCCAGUUUUCUCUCCUACCCAGAGUCUGUUUCAACCCACACCUGUAAUCCCAGCACUUUAGGAGGCCAAGGCAGCCUCACUUGAGCCAGGAGUUUGCAACCAUCCUGGGCAAUAUGGUGAGACACCGUAUCUACAAAAAAAAAAAAAAAUUAGCCAAUUGUCUUGGCACACUCCUGUGAGGCUGAGGUGAGAGCAUUGCUAGAGCCAAGGAGGUCGAGGCUGCAGUGAGCUAUGAUCACAGCACUCUAGCCUGGGUAACAGAGCAAGAUCCUGUCUCUAAAAAUAAAACAACACAAAUGUAAGAAAGAACUUCUGCCUGUGGCAACUGUAUCCCCAAAUAUCAAAGCCUAUAAAAACUAAAUAGGCCUGGCACAGUGGCUCACGCCUGUAAUCCCAACACUUUGGGAGGCCGAGGCGGGCAGAUAGUUUGAGCUCAGGAGUCCCAGAUCAGCCUAGGCAACAUGGUGAAACCCCGUCUCUACCAAAAAUAAAAAACUUAGCUGAGCGUGGUGGUGCACGCCUGUAGCCCCAGCUGCUGAGGAGCCUGAGCCCAGGGGGUGGAGGCUGCAGUGAGCCAUGAUCACACUACUGUACUCCAGCCUAGGUGACAGAGUGAGACCCUGUCUCAAAAAAAUAAAAGAAAAUAAAAAUAAACAAAGAGAGAAGUGGAAGAAGAGGUGGAGUUUUGUAUUUAUGACUUGAAUUUUGUAUUCAUGACUGGGUUGACACCCCAAUCCACUCCAUUUUUAGCCUUGAAACAUGGCAAACAGUAACCAUUAAAAGGAUGGAAAAGAGAAGAAGGCAUGGGUGGGAAACUGUGCCUCCCAUUUUUGUGCAUCUUUGUUGCUGUCCUUCCACUAUACUGUACCUUUCAGCAUUUUGACGGCAACCUGGAUUGAGACUCCUGUUUUGCUAAUUCCAUAAGCUGUUGCGUUCAUCACUUUUCCAAAAGCACCUGAUCCUAGUACCUUCCCUGCAAAGACAAAUGGUGAGUACGUGCAUUUUAAAGAUUUUCCAAUGGAAAAGAAAUGCUGCAGAAACAUUUGGCACAUUCCAUUCUUACCAAACUCUAAAUUUUCUCUUGGAAACUCCCAUUUGAGAUCAUAUUCAUAUUCUCUGAAAUCAACGUAGAAGUACUCAUUAUCUGAGGAGCCGGUCACCUGUACCAUCUGUAGCUGGCUUUCAUACCUAAAUUGCUUCAGAGAUGAAAUGAUGAGUCAGUUAGGAAUAGGCAGUUCUGCAGAUAGAGGAAAGAAUAAUGAAUUUUUACCUUUGCUUUUACCUUUUUGUACUUGUGACAAAUUAGCAGGGUUAAAACGACAAUGAAGAGGAGACAAACACCAAUUGUUGCAUAGAAUGAGAUGUUGUCUUGGAUGAAAGGGAAGGGGCCUGCAACAAAAGAGUGUCACUCAGCGAUGAAACAGAAUUCCUGUGUGACAUUAUAAAUAGUGGACAACUCAUUAUAAUCUCUCACAUCCUGUUUCAGUAAUAAUCAUUUUCAGUCCUAACAACCACUCUACAUAUACUCUACUCCCCACAGACAAUCAGGCAAUGUCCCUGUAAAGGAUACAUUUCCUCCCUAGAAAAUUGCGGAUUAUUCUCAAUCCAUUCUUUAAAACCAUUUACUAGGGUAAAUUUACAAGAAUUACAUCUGGUCCAGGCACGAUGGCUCACGCCUGUAGUCCCAGCACUUUGGGAGGCCAAGAUGGGAGGAUCACUUGAGUCCAAGAAUUAGACACCAGCCCAGGCAACACAGUGAAAUCCCGUCUCUAAAAAAAUUCAAAAAUUAGCUGGGCGUGGUGGCAGGUGCCUGUAAUCCCAGCUGCUCGGGAGGCUGAGGCAGGAGAAUCGCUUGAACCCUGGCAGAGGUGAGCCAAGAUCACGCCACUGCACUGCAGCCUGGGUGACAGAGCGAGUCUCCAUCUCAAAAAAAAAAAUGCAUGGAUUUAAACCUACAGGAUGUACAAGUCAGAGAAAAAAGAAGUUCAUAUCCCUUUUAUGAAGGUCGCACAUGAAAGUGGAGAAGUCAGUUUUGUGAGGUUGGUGAUCCUAACUACUAGGGUGGGCAGCCAGGUUUCACAACUGUUUAACUUAGGAGGGCUCUAAAAAGCAAACCAAAAAUUAUAAAACAGCAAGCUGAGGGCAAAUAAGGAGGCUAAUCAAAAGGGAAAAUGACAGAGACUCCAAGUGACAAAAUCUGUUUCUCUAGAGUUAGAUCUUUCCAUGGAGAUUCACCACACUGGGAGUUUCUGCUUCUCCCGGUCACUGUGACACAUGAGUCACAAGGGCACAGGGAGGACUCCGCCCCAACCUGUGAAACAGUCUCUCUGGGGAUUCUUGCCUGACUCAAGAAACCUUUUCUCACACACUGACCCUAUACUCUCCUGUAAAAUUCCCCAAGUAAAAGUCAGCGAUGGGGACUAACUUCUAGUGGGGAAUUCCUGAUGGUGGAAUAUCACAAGAACAACUGUUGUACCUGGAGAGUUUAAAAGGAUCGUCUCACAAGAUGUGCCAAGGGAAUUGUAUGCACAGCACUUGACCAGGAACCCUUUUAUGGCUUCACUCAUGUUUAGAGUACUGCUCGACACCCACUGUCCAAACACUUUUCUGUUAGCCUUUCUAUUCCAGACUCCUUCUGUGAUCUCUUCUGUGCAGCUGAAAAAAAAAAUAGCAAAGAAUUUAGACAGGUGAGCUGUCAUCAGAUUGGAAGUUAGGAUUUCUGCAGCGAGUUCUAAAAGAGAUUCAUCCAGUAUAAGUUAUCAGAAACAGUCUAUGACUAUUGAGAGUUAUGGUUGAUUGAGAAGGUUAGCAUUUUAAAUAUUUCAUCAUUUCCUCUUAAACUGUAUUCAUGAAAGAGUCAAUAGGUCAGAGAGUUUUAUGUUCUUCCAUUAUAAGAGGCAUCAAUGUCCUUAUUACUUGGGAGACUUGUCUGAACACUUCUUCCAGGUCCAAGAUGGUAAUGGGUAUCCAUCCGAGAAACAGGACGCCUGACUUGCCGAUGCUUCUGCGAGCACUUGAGGUUUCCCUAUAGAAAAGAACGUGUGAAAUAAGCUCACUGGCUGGGCAUAGUGGUUCACUCCUAUAAUACCAAUACUUUGUGAAGCCAAGGUGGGAGGAUCACUUGGGCCAAGGAGUUCAAGACCAGCCUGGGCAACACAGCAAGACCCUGUCUCUGAAAAUAAUAAAAUAAAAUAAGCUCUUGGAGUAUGGUACUUUCUGGAAAUAGUUUCAAAGUUGCCUACAGUACAGGCUACCCAUUUACUCCAGGGCAGUUUGUGCUUCUGGGAGGAUUUCUCAUUUAGGAUGCCUCCAGACCUCUGGUAAUUUCUUCUUUCCUCCUUGCCAUGCAACCUCCUUGCCAUGCAACCUCUCUGCUACACACCAUUUUUCCAUUGCCAGCCUCUCCCUGGAGAGAGCUGAGGUACAGACCUCCACCUGUUUGCAUGCCUUAAAAUGAUUCUUAGCUUCAGGAGAAGUUGGACUUCUCAUUGUUUUAUAAGCCAAAGAAAUGAAAAUUAUUAAAAACAAAUAAAUGAGAGAUAAAAUGACUUUCAGCCUUUCCUUAACAUGACCUUUCAAAAUACUAAAAUCAAUAAAGUCAUAACACUAAUUCAUAUUCAGAGACAAUGUGAAAUAAGUCUUUCAGCUUCUGAUGAUACACACAGAAAGAGAUAUAUGGCCAGGUGCAGUGGCUCUCGCCUGUAAUCCUAGCACUUUGGGAGGCCAAGGUAUGAGGAUCCCUUAAGGCCAGGAGUUUGAGACCAACCUGGGCAACAAAGGGAGGCCCCCUCUCUACAAAAAUGGUUUUAAAAUUAGCUGAGCAUGGUGGCGCGUGCCUGUAGUCCCAGCUACUCGGGAGGCUUAGGAGGAUCACUUGAGCCCAGGAGUUUGAAGCUACAGGGAUCUAUGAUUGUGCCAUGGCACCCCAGCCUGCGUGGUAGAGUGAGACCUGGUCUUAAAAAUGAAACAGAACAAAAUAACAUAAAAAAUAAAAAGAUAUAUGAUCAAUGCCAGUAGAUAUGAGAGUAAAGUUUCAAAACACUUCAGCGUACAAAAACAGUUUUGUAGUAGCCCUUCUAAGCCAUUACUUAACUUUUCCUAGUUAAGACUAAUAAAAAAUUAAGGAAUUAAAAAAUAAAAAUCAAAUUCUCGGCAAUUUAACUUACUUCUUAUAUUCAGCGUGAACAUUUUGGUAAAUUGGGCAUCAUCAUUUUCUGCAUGGAAUAUAUAUUCUCCUGGCUGGUGCUUAUGAUUGCAAAACUUGGAUAUGCUGUUUGAAAAAGAAUUAAAGACAGAUUUAGCCCAAUUGCUACAGGAGAUGCUGCAACUAAUGACAGUGUGCAUGGGAGGUGUCUUCCUUGAAAUGCUCCUCACUUGCUAAAGUUCACUGGAAAAGGAAAUGUCCAUAUUGUAGACCCUUGCUACUCAAAGUGUGGUCCACAGACAGGCAGCAUCAACAUCGCCAUUGGUAUCAUCUGGGAGCUUGUUACAAUUGCAAGAUUUCAGGUCCCUUCCAAAUCACUGACUCAGAAUCUGCAUUUUAAGAUGAUCACCAUGUGAGUCAUAUGCCCAUUGGGAGUUGGGAUUGGCCGAAGAUUCUCAGUGAGACCAGGAAGUUCCUGCCCCUCUUGCUCUGGAUAGUCUAACUUCUCAGAACUUGUGCAGGUGGAGAAGCCUGUAGUUCAGAGGUCCCCAGCCCCCCAGCCUCUAGACUGGUAACUGUCCAUGGCCUAUUAGGAAAGGGGCCACACAGCAGGAAGUGAGCAGCAGGCAAGAGAGCUUUACCGCUUCCUGUCAGAUCAGCAGAGGGAUUAGAUUCCCACAGGAGCGGAAACCCCACUGUGAAUUGCACACGCCAGGGAUCUAGGUUGUGCGUUCCUUAAGAGAAUCUAAUCCCCGAUGAUCUGAGAUAGAACAGUUUCAUCCCGAAACCAUCCCCCUACCCCCAAUCUAUGGAAAAAUUGUCUUCCACAAAAUGGAUCCUUGGUGCCAAAAACGUUGGGGACUGCUGCUGUAGCUGCCCUGCUUCCUGAAAUGACAGUCCAAGGCAGGACCUAUGACCAACCCUUGACUUACAUAGCAAUGAACAACGAUGAGGGCUCAAAUCCACUGAGCUUGUGCAGAAACCUCUGAGUGCUCUCAGCAGGCUCUAGUGCCUACUUGGAGCACUCAUCAACCACUCAAUAUUUUGACACAGAUAACCUGAUCUUGGGGACUGUCCACCACGCCCAGCAGGCCUGUGGGUUGCUGGAUACUGCAGUGAGAUGUUGGAUGGUGCAGGAGAGGCAGGGCAGCAAUGAGUUGUUGAAUAUGCCUUCGUGCACUCACAGUAACAAAAUUGGAGAAAAAGAAAAAAAUUCCCUUAAAACAGAAAAAGAAAUCUAAGGCUUGUACCGAAGAUAUCUAACUCGACCUCCACAUAGCCUACUGAAAGUUUUUUUUUUUUUUUCUUGAGACAGAGUCUCGCUCUGUCUCCCAGGCUGGAGUGCAGUGGCGCUAUCUCGGCUCACUGCAAGCUCUGCCUCCCGGGUUCCCACCACUCUCCUGCCUCAGCCUCCGGAGUAGCUGGGACUACAGGCUCCUGCCACCACGCCCGGCUAAUUUUUUAUAUUUUUUAGUAGAGACAGGGGUUCACCGUGUUAGCCAGGAUGGUCUCGAUCUCCUGACCUUGUGAUCUGCCUGCCUCAGACUCCCAAAGCGCUGGGAUUACAUGCAUGAGCCACUGCGCCCAGCCUAGCCUACUUAAAGUUUAAAAAACAAAAAGACCCUGCCUGGCAGGUUAGGAAGGUGAGUCAGAGUGGACGCAGCUUUAGAUGAGGAGUGUGGAGGAUGCAAAAGACCUAAAAAGUAGGUAGCUCCUAUCUUCAAAGAUACCUAAACCGGGUGGAUAGACAGGACCCAUACAAGUGGAAUCAUUAAAGCAUUAAACUGAAGUCCAGCAGAUGAUCAAAGAAGGCAGAGGUCUGUGUCGGUGGGAAAGGUUCGGGGCCUUCAUAGAGGAGGUAGAGCUCGAGCUGGAGCCUCACGGAUGAGUUGGUUUUGAUGAGAGGACAAAAGAAAAGGCAUCCAAGGAGGAGACAAAGCAGCGACUGAAGGCGCCAGACGGGAAGUCAUAGGGCUGCAGUGAGGAGGAACGGCAAGCCUCUCAUGGGAGCAGAAUAUCAUGAACAGUAUUGUAUUUACUUACUUUAUUUAUUUAUUGAUAUGGAGUCUCACUCUGUCACCCAGGUUGGAGUGCAGUGGCACUAUCUCGGCUUAUUGCAACCUCUGCCUCCCAGGUUCAAGCGAUUCUCCUGCCUCAGCCUCCUGAGUAGCUGAGAUUACAGGUGCCCGCCACCACGCCCGGCUAAUUUUUUGUAUUUUUAGUAGAGAUGGGGUUUCACCAUGUUGGCCAGGAUGAUCUUGAUCUCUUGACCUAGUGAUCCACCCACCUCAGCCUCCCAAAGUGCCGGGAUGAAUUACGCAUUUUAAAAAUACAAAUUACUUAUUUUCUACAACAAUGCUUACUGCCCUGAGCAUUGCAAUAAAACUUUUUUUUUUUUUUUUUUGAGAUGGAGUCUCACUCUGUCGCCCAGGCUGGAGUUCAGUGGCGUGAUCUUGGCUCACUGCAACCUCUGCCUCCUGGGUUCAAGCAAUUCUCCUGCCUCAGCCUCCCAAGUAGCUGGGAUUACAGGCACACGCCACCACAGCCAGCUAAUUUUUAUAUUUUUCAUAGAGACAGGGUUCACCAUGUUGGCCAGACUCGUCUUGAAUUCCUGACCUCAUGUGAUCCUCUCUCCUUGGCCUCCAAAAGUGCUGGGAUUACAGGCAUGAGCCACUGCACCUAGCCUUAAUUUUAUUUUAUGUAAUUUUUCUGUACAGAUGGGGUCUCACUAUGUUGCCCAGGCUGGUCUCAAACUCCUGCCCUCAAGCCAUCCUCCCCACCUCGGCCUCCCAAAGUGCUGGGAUAACAGGUAUGAGUCAGGGUGGCUUGGCCUAUGAAGAGUGUUUUAUAUGCACCUGCUGAUGGCAGCAAAAGUUUACUGGAAGUUUAAAGGCAGUUGUAGCAAUCCAAGAACUCGUUCAUUCAUUCCUUCAUUCAACUGUCAAUGUUAGAACCUGUUUGUGACGGAAAUUGAGGACACAACAGCAAAUUCAAAAAAUUGGGUUUCUGUUCUCACAGAAUUUACAAUUUGGUGGUGAAGGUAGAGGGGUAAUAAGCAGUUGGAGUGUGGGAAGUUUCUGUGAUAGGAGAAGUAAAAGUUCAGAUUUGAGGUUUCGGAGCAUGACAAGGGGAGCGUUGUUUAAUGGAGGAGAAUGGGAAAGGAGAGAAAAGAGCAAACCCUAGAGGCACCAGAAAAAAAGAAAUGGCAGGGGCUAGAUUGGAUACAGAAGAUAAAGGGGAGAAGAGAAUCCCAGUUGGUCCCCAAGACUCAAAACACACCUGUAAUCCCAACACUUUGGGAGGCUGAGAUGGGUGGACUGCUUGAGGCCAGAAGUUUGAGACCAGCCUUGGCAAUCUACUGAGAUCCCAUCUCUACAAAAAAAAUCCACAAAACGCCACUGCGUAAUUGCAGCUUUUGAGCCCACGUUUGUGUGACACCAAUGUUCUGUGCCCUGAACUCGUAAGCCAAGGUAAUUCUGACUGUGUAUUGUGAACAAGAGAAUUCAUCUCUCUGACCUAUCAAAAGUUUCAGGCAGUUAAAAGUUGACCUUUGGGUGCGUGCAGGGGUUCACAUCUGUAAUCCCAGCACUCUGAGAGGCCGAGGAGGGUGCAAUACUUGAGCCCAGGAGUUUGAGAUCGGCCUGGGCAACAUGGCAAGACCUUGUCUCUACAGAAUUUUUUUUUUUAAUUAGCUGGGUGCGAUGGCACACACCUGUGGUCCCAGCUACUUGGGAGGCCGAGGUAGGGGAAUUGCUGGAGCCACUAUACUCCAGCCUAGGCAGCAGAGCAAGACCCGGACUCAAAAAAAAAAAAAAAAAUGCUGAGCAUUGAAUAAGGUGUUUAACCUUCUUUUGCUUUGUUAACAAGAAGGCUGAAGAAGUCAAAAAGGGGAAUUUCUUAUCCUGACCUAUUUCUGGACAACAAGGAGGAAAUCACUGGUGAAGUGGAAACAAUAGAAAGAUUGGGGGAAAGCCAGAUUACAACCCUAGGGAGGAGAAGAGGAAACAGAGCUCCAUGCCAGUGCCCGACCUCAGGAAGGCAGUGUGGAAGAGGCUGGCGUGGAAGUGGCCCAAGAGAAGAAAGACGUGAGCUUCUAAGAGAGAAAGUGUAAUUCUCUCUGGACAAUGGCCAAAGACCCUGAAAAAGGAGAAGAGAGGAGGUAAUGAAGCCAGUGUGGCUCACCAGAGAGCAUGUCAGAGACACCAGUCAAUUCAGUGGAAAAAGAAAUGACCAGUACAAUUACUUAUCAUGAGGCAGACCAAAGCAAAAUGUUUCGUAAACAUUUUUCUUCCUCAGUCUUUUGUGCUGUCUUAAUAGAGUGUGGUUUGCCAUGGUUUAGAAGAGAUAGCACUUGAAACAUUUUUCACUCUUCUGAACAAACUCCAAGUAUGAAAUUGGUCACAUAAAUAGCAGGAACACAAAACUGAAUAUCCAAUGGCUUUAAACUGCCUUUCCUCAUGCUUAUGACAGUUAACCCUGGAAACAAUGACAACUGCAAUGACAACCGUGUCCUGACCCCAUGGGAAUUCCAAGGGGACUAACUAAUUAGGCUGAUUGGGAGAUGCAAAGCUUCCUCUUUCGCCUAGGGGUUUUCUACAAAUGGCCAGCCGGCAGGAGACGGAGGUCAGGACAUUUGAGUUUACAGUAAAACAAUACCUCGGUGUCUAAGAAGAUGCGUUCUCAUUAAAACUAAGAAAAGGGGUUUCUUGGCUGGGAACGAUGGCUCACGCCUGCAAUCCCAACACUUUGGGAGGCCAAAGGAGGAGGAUCACUUGAGGUAAGGAGUUCGAGAUCAGCCUGGCCAACAUGGUGAAACUCCAUCUCUACUAAAGAUACAAAAAAUUAGCUGGGCACGGUGGCACACGCCUGUAAUCCCAGCUAUUCGGGAGGCUGAGGCAGGAGAAUCGCUUGAGGUGGAGGAUGCAGUGAGCCGAGAUCGCACCAUUGCACUCCAGCAUGGGUGAGAGGGCAAGCCUCCAUCCGAAAUAAUAAUAAUAAUAAUAAUAAUAAUAAUAAUAAUAAUAAUAAAUAAAAAUGUCAAAGAAAGAGAAAGAAAAAAAAGUAAAGUUGAUGCCCAUCAACAGGAGUUAGUUAAAAUAAAAAUUUCUGAAAAGUGGAAUACUAUGCAGCCAUUACAGCAAUAAGGUAGAUAUAACAACAUACUUAUUAAUAUAGAAAGAUACUCAUGAUAUAUUUUAAGUGAAAAAUCAGAUUACAAAUGGUACCUUAUUUCAUGUUUAUACAAAGAUCCAUAUUGUAUGUUUCUAUCAUGGUGCUUACAUAGAAAAAGUCUGCAAUGUUAUCUCUGGAGGUGGAAUUAUGUGUUUUUUUAAGGCAAUUUCAGAAAAAGAAGGAAUAAAGGGUGUUGGCUUUGCCUUCUGUGAUUGGGCAAGUAAUUUAGCCUCAAUUUCCACAUUUCAUAAAAUGGGAUUAUGAGAGUUAAAUGAGGUAAUACACCUAUAGGAUUUUGCACAUGGUAAGAGCUCAAAGAAGGAUCUUUUAUUCUCACAGAAUGGCUUCUUAAGAUGUGGUUAAUAACUUACAACUGAGUGGGGUCUUGGGAAGACCUGCAGCCAGGAAUGUUGUCUCAAACUGCAGAAGUGAAUGGGAACGGCAUUUAGGUAGGAGCUGCUGGUAUUUCUCUAGACUCAAACUUUUCCCUCAUUUUCCCUCCUUUCUGUCUGUGCUCAAGGCUCAACUCCUUCAGAAAAUAGGAAAAAAAAAAAAAACAACUCCUCUCCCAGGCUCCAUAAUCUUCUGCAAUUGUGUGUCACUCAUUGUAUGUGACAGCCUGCUUUUCAGUUUGUGGUUCUUCUGAGCAGGACCCUGGCUCACCACCCAGAACCCAAACGACCACCACACAGCUGUUUACCCCGUAAGCACUCGGUUAGUGCCUACUGUGGGCAAAACUUAGAUUCACAGAGUUGGAAAAUUAAAUAUUUCAGGAAAAAGGAAAACAUCAGGCUUAGGCAAGGCUAAGGAGAAGGUUUCAGAAGAGGUUACUAAGUAAUUACAACAGUCCUAUUCCUUUUUUUUUUUCCCAUAAAAGUGGAAAAAGCUAAGGUAGAUUUGGAAUUUGUAAUUAAGUCUGUAGAGAUAGGAAAUUAUACAAACUAAUGGGUGAAAUAUCCUGGAAACCUUUAUCAGGACCAGGACACCAGGACGGCUAGAAAGUUAUAAUUUAAUAAAACAUAAAGGCAAGCCCUAGUAAACUUUGGCGUAAUAUUUGAGGAAGUAAAUUGGAGAAAUGAAGCCAUGAAAGUGGGGAAGCCGAGAGAUUUCUGGUGCACAUACCAUGACCACACCAAAGUUUUUUCAGGGGUAGUGUUAUUACAGGGGCCUUUCAGUAACAGAUUUUUAAAAAAUUGUAUCACUUUGCCUAUAAAAUCUUGAUACAUGACUAAAAUACUGUACUUCACAAACCAAAUUCGGUUCAAUUAAAUUGUUGAAUCUAGGUGGUAGGUAAAGAAUGCUCAUGCACUAUUAUUUCAACUUAUUAGUAAAUUUGAAACUUUCUAUAAUAAAAAGUCAAAAGGAAAGACGGGUGCAGUGGCACACGCCAAGUUGCAGCUACUCAGGAGGCUGAGGCGGGAGGAUCACUUGAGCCCAGGAGUUAGAAUCCAACCUGGGCAAUAUAGCAAGACCCUGACUCUAAAAAGCAAAAAGAAGCCAGGAAAGGUGGUUCACGGCUGUAAUCCCAGCACUUUGGGAGGGCAAGGCGGGCAGAUCACGAGGUCAGGAGUUUGAGACCAGCCUGGCCAACAUGGUGAAACCCCGUCUCUACUAAAAAUACAAAAAUUAGCCGAGUGUGGUGGUGCAUGCCUGUAAUCCCAGCUACUCGAGAGGCUGAGGCAGGAGAAUCACUUACUCACCUCCACCGAGAGGAGAAUCACUUAAUCACCUCCGCCAGGAGGAGGAGGUUGCAGUAAGCCAAGAUUGCGCCACUGCACUCUAGCCUGGGUGACAGAGCGAGACUCCGUCUCAAAAAAAAAAGCAAAAAGAAGGGCCAGGCGCGGUGGUUCAUACCUGUAAUCCCAGCACUUUGGCAGGCCGAGGUGGGCGUAUCAUUUGAGGUCAGGAGUUCGAGACCAGCCUGGCCAACAUGGCAAAACCCCGUCUCUACUAAAAAUACAAAAAAAUAGCUGGGCAGGGUGGCACAUGCCUGUAAUCUCAGCUACUAGGGAGGCUGAGGCAGGAGAAUCACUUGAACCCAGGAGACGGAGGUUGCAGUGAGCCAAGAUCAUGCCACUGCACUCCAGCCUGGGCGACAGAGUGAGACUCUGUCUCAAAAAAAAAAAAAAAGGCAAAAACAAAGAAAAGUGGAAAUUACCCCUGACUAUAAUCUAGUCCUCCAUCCCCAUCUCAACAUAGAGCCUCAUGUGGAGAGAAAAAGACAUUUAGAGCACUCAGAGGCGUGUUCAAAUUUUGUGUUGUUCGUUUCUUGUUCAGUACUUUGAGCAUGUUUUCUCAUGAAGAAGGAGGGCCCAUCUUUCCUUUGCUGUGUGUCGUCAGUGGCCCAUAACACCUGGUACAUUAUCAGUACCAACAAUGCACAUCAUUAGCACAAACACUGUAGCUCUUCAAGAACUUUCAAAUAACAAUAAACACUGAGUACUGGGUGUUGUGCUAAGAACCAUGUGCAUGGUCCUUGCAGUGAAGAGGAUGCUGUCGACUCAUCUUUGGCCCAGACUGCACUGUGAGUUGCAUUCCAGAUAUGAUGAUGAAUUCAUUCAUUUAUUAAACACACUUACUGAACAAGGCAUUGUACAAAGAUAGAGAAAUAUGGCAGCAUACCUAUUCUUAGAGUUUAUAAACUCCCUGGUGAGAUGUGACAUACAUACUUAUCUGUUGCCAGAUAAGUAGGAAUGAGUGAGGUACAAAACGCUAUAGGAGUCAGGAGCUCACCUAAUUCAUUCAUUUGGCUACCUCUAUAGGAUAACAAUCUGGGGUCAUGGGUAUGGAUUGUAGCCAUGGAAUGAAACUACAUGAAGCAGCCCACUACAUUGGCCCAUGACCCAUAUGUCAGUGACAUGGUCCCCAACUGGCGAUUCUGUAAAAUCUCAAAAGGUUAUACCAGAUAUCACCAGCACAGUAGCAAUCUGUGUACAUUCUUGCGGGAGAGGGAAAGCAACAUUACCUUAUUCACUCUUGCAGCCCAUCACAGCAUCACACCCAUCAAGAGGAUAUUAAAGUAAUAUUUGUUGAACUAAAUUGAAUCGACCCCUUCUCUCUUUGAAUCAGGUUCAGAAGAGAUUCCCAUAAUGCUAAGAGCUUAUCUAACAUGGGGAUAGGAUACAAAGGAGAGAGGGGACAGUGAUAUGCUGAUUUCCUUCUGAACACAGGCCAAGUGGUAAUCAAGUCAACUAGGGUAAAGAGGGGCUGACUCUCCAACCUUCUACAUUUAAAAGCUUGAUGGGCCAGGCGCGGUGGCUCACGCCUGUAAUCCCAGCACUUUGGGAGGCUGAGGCGGUUGGAUCACUUGAGGUCAGGAGUUCGAGAACAGCCUGGCCAACAUGAAGAAACCCCGUCUCUAUUAAAAAUACAAAAAAUUAGCUGGGCAUGGUGGCAUGCACCUAUAAUCCCAGCUACUUAGGAGGCUGAGGCAGGAGAAUUGCUUGAACCCAGGAGCUUGCAGUGAGCCAAGAUCGUGCCACUGCACUUCAGUCUGGGCAACAGAAUAAGACUCUGUCUCAAAAAAAAAAAAAAAGCUUGAUAUUUCUGAAUAACAGCUUACGAUGACUGUGGGUUGAUGCCUCUAAGGCAAUGGUUCUCAAAAAAAAAAAAAAAAAAAAUGCCAGGGGUUAUUUUUCUCAAUUUGGCAGUGUCUGGAGAUAUUUUUGGUCACACUGGGAAAAGGGAAUGUGCUCCUGGCAUCCAGUGGGAGGAGACCCGGGAUGCUGAAAAGUAUCCUACAGUGCACAGGACAGUCCUUCACAACAAAGAAUUAUCCAGCUCAACAUGCCAGCAGCGCCACUGUUGACAAACCCUGAGUUUGGGGGAGUGUGUUUCAGUCAGCUCCCAGACCAGUCUGCAUUCUUAAUUACUUUAAAAAUGAAUGCUCUGAACAUUGGGGGGUUUCAGUAAGAGACAGUAGACAACUCCAUGCAAACCCUGCACUGAGAUUCUAAAAGUCCCAACAAGGGACUUUUAGUACAAAUCCCUUUUAGGUAUAAAGAGUAACAAUAAUCAUGAAACAAACACUUAGCGGAAUCAAGGUGAAAAGAACUCCUACUCUUCAUCUAGAACAGGGCUAGCCAAUGAAACAGAAUGUGAGUCACAACUUCAAGCCUUGUACAUCAUUUACAAAUUCUGUUGGCUGUAUAAAGUAAAAGGAAGCAGGUGAAAUUAAGUUUAAUAACAUAUUUCGCUGAAUGCGAUAUAUCCAAAAUACUAUCAUUUUAAUAUAUAAUCAAUGUAAAAAUUGUUUUAAUUUUAUUAUUAUUUUUUCUUUUUGAGGCAGGUUCUUGCUCUGCAUCCAGGCUGGAGUGCGGUGACGUGAUCAUGGCUACUGCAGCCUCGACCACCUGGGCUCAAUCAAUCCUCCAACCUCAGCCUCCCAAGUAGCUGGGACUAAAGGUGUACACCACCACACUCAACUCAUUUUUGUAUUUUCUGUAGAGAUGGGAUUUUGCCAUGUUAUCCAGGCUGGUCUCAAACUCCUAGGAUCAAGCGAUCCACCCGCCUUGGCUUCAUAAAGUGCUGGGAUGACAGGUGUGACCCACCGAGCCCGGCCAAUAUAAAAAUUAUUAAUAAUAUAUUUUACAUUCUUUUUUUCAUACUAAGUCUUCAAAAUCUAGUGUGUAUUUUACAAUUAGAGUACAUCUCAAUUUGGACCAGACACACUUCAAGCUCUCAAUAGCCACAUGUGGCUGGUGGCUACCGUACCGGACAGCACAGAUCUAGACCUGUGAUAGGAAUCACCAAAGGUUCUCAUUAAAAAAGCAGAGUCUGAGCGUUUUGCCCCAGUUUUGAGUCAGCAUGUCUGGAAUGGGAGCCAGGAAUCCACAUUUUAAACAUUUGCUCAGAUGAUUCUUACACAGUUGUUCAACAGACCACAUGCUGAGAAAGGAUGAUUUAUUCUAGUCCAUUGACUUGUUUGAAAGAUAACAUGUGCGUCUCAGUGUCUCAUAGCCUAGUCCAAAACCAUGUUCCAUAGCAUUAGUUUAAAGAGACAAGAGAUGUCAUAACUAUAGAAGAUAUAGGGGAAAGUUGUUUUUUGUUUUCCAAAGAAGGAAUGGAGAAUUCCUCCCACAAGAGAAUCUUUCGGCUGGGUGCAGUGGCUCACGCCUGUAAUCCCAGCACUUUGGGAGGCCCAGGUAGGGUGAAUCUCCUGAGCUCAAGAGUCCGAGACCAGCCUGCGCAACAUGGCAAAACCCUGUCUCUACCAAAAAUACAAAAAAUUAGUCAGGUGUGGUGGUGUGCACCUGUGGUACCAGCUACUUGGGAGGCUGAGGUGGGAGGAUCACUUGAGCCUGGGAGGUGGAGGUUGCAGUGAGCCAAUAUUGCACCACUGCACUAUAGCCUAGGUGACAGAGUGAGACCUCAUCUCAAAAAAAAAAAAAAAAAGAAAAAGAAAAAGAAAAGAAAAUUUGUUGUUCUUAAAAAAAAGAAUCUUGCAUAGUUUCUCAUACAAAUCCCGAGGAAAACAACAUUUUCCUUCAGCACUUACUAUUGGGCUAUUUCUGCAUGUAUUUUUUGAAAAUUUAAAUCAAUACACCUAUGAGUAAUGUUUUUCUGUUUUUAAGGAGUUUUACUUCCUCAAUCAUCUGCAAAUGUUUUAGGGGAGACUCAGUGUCCUACACACCGCACUCUCAAACAGGAAGUAAAAACUACCUUGUGACUCAGAAAAUGCCAGAGAACCAGACUCAAACUAGACCAGACUAAUACGGUUCUUUCUGUUUUCAUGCAGCAGGUUAUAUUAUCUAAAGUAAUGGUAAGACUGCUACUGUAUCCUCACAUCUGCUUAUUGUUUUCUUAUCUCCAAUUUCAACUCAAUAAUAGUUAAACUCAUAAGUGAAUUUGCUUCCAUAAGUAUAAAACUGUCCUUCUCAAGGGCGACAAGCAAGGAGAAUUAUGCUAAAAAUGGUAUCUUAGAGUCCUUUGUGGUCUCACCUGUAUCCGUUAUCAAGACCCUUUUGCUCACAAGGAAAUGAUUUUCGAGAGAAGGUCCACGUACAUCUGAUUUGUGGGUAGGCUUUAAACCUGACAGAAAAACAAAACUCUUCAUAUUGGUCAAUUUCAUAAUCUUCACUUGAAUUGGUAGCAUUUAUAAAUCCCUUUUCUGUAAGAAAAAAUAGGCAUUUAUGAGUUAGUUAAUAAUAUUCAUAGGGAAACGUAUUGAGAAGAUAAAAUAAACUUGUAUUCAUCAGUUUAACACAGGAAAACUCAAGUGUUGGCAUGCUGCAGGUCAGGUUGGAUAAUCCAAGUGAAAACCCAGGAGUCCUAUCCCUAGUUCUAAGCCUGAGCUCAUCAUCUUUCGAAGUUAAGAAAUGUUUAAAAAAAGAAAGAAGGAAAGAAAAAGAAUGGGAUGUAGAUAAUUGACUGUCUGGCCCCUGCUCUCAGCCAGCACCACUCUUCCAUUGAUGAGAGAGAGUAAAAUAAACUCAAGGCACAAAUAAAAGAGCGAUCUGGCUAGCAAUAUUCACGAGGUUGCCUUAUGGAACACUUCCUUAUUAAUCUGCUAAGAGCAUCGCUGUAUUUCUCGGCAUUUUCAUUAUGGCUGAACGCUGUGCCCUAAUCUGAGAUUAUUGAACUGUGGUUAUUUUCAGAUCCUACAUACCCCACCAAAAUUUCAGUGCAUCUAAGGGCUUGUACUGUCUCUCAGUGCUCACUGCCCUAACAGUGCGGUUAGUUGGUUCUUAGAACUAGUAUUUAUUGUCCAUUUUGUGUCAGGCUCUGUGUCAGGUUCUGGAACUACAAGGAUAGAAUGAGUUGUUCUUGUCCUUAAGAAACUUACAGUCUACUGGAGGAUAAAAGUACACAAACAGAUGGUCAUAUUACAAUGUGUUAUAUGCAAAGACAGUGGCAUUCAAGCGAGCCUGGUUUAACGGGAAAAGGAAGAGGGUGGGCAGAUUAUCUUUGCAAAGCUAUUCUAACUCAGUUUCUUUCUUAGUGUUUGAUAGUAGCAUUAUAUUGAAAUCAGAAUUUGUACCACAUACUUCACAUUCCACACUACAGCGACUAAAAAUAGGAAUAAAGAUUGUGUGAGCAGCCUGCAUUACCUACGAUGGUAACCAAAGCUGAUUGACUGGGAUGCUUUGAAGAGGAACAAGUGUAGUAUCCGGUGUCGUUUCUUGCCACUGAUGAUACAAAAGCAAACAGAAUCCGUAUCAUAGUUCUGUUUGUUGAAUAGGUACUCAUCUCAAAGUAGUUGCCCUAGGUUUUAAUAAAACAGAGUUUGCAUUUAAUGUUUUCAAUCCAGACUAUUAGUUAAUUGUUCCUGCAUUUUCAGAAUACAAACUUGUCCUAUUACCUCCUCGAGUGCUUUGUUUUCUAAUUCCCAGGUGAGCCCGAAUCCAUGGUUCACAUGAACAGCUUUGCACCUUAUCCAUAAGGGUUCCCCUACUUUAAGAAAUAAUUGUGGCAAUGUGGUCUGAGGAGUUUGAUUUAGAUCUAGGAGAUGAAAACAUCCCAAGUGAGAAAAAAAAAGUGAUUUUUGCCUCAUCACAAAAGAUAUCCUGAACAUUCUGAACAAAGACUUUAGCAUCAUCUCAAAUAUUACUAACCACAUUAAUAAAAGAAGCUUUUAGAGACUGACUCCUCUUUUAUGAAGAAAUCAGCAUUUACAGAAUCCAUAAUAUUGCAUUUACUGUGACCUGAAGGAAUGAUAGGAUUUCUGAAGUUGAAUGAUCACCUACGCAGUUACUGUUAGUCCCUGAUAGUUGCUAAGAACCGGUCACUGAAAAUGAAAGUGCAUGAUAUUAUAGUGUUACCUAUUGUGAACAGCCUGGUGCAUUCCCUGCCCAGUUCAUUUCUGGCACAGCACCUUAUGUCCGUCCCAAAUAAUUCAUGAAGCACUUUUUCCUCCUUUUUAACAACAGCUGGACUUUCUUCUUUACAGCUGCAAUUAGAAAAGAAGUACCAUUUGGCUAAACAAGUUUUAAAAUUACAAAUGAAUGCUCAAGAGGAGAACAAAGUUCUAGAGCCAGUUUUAAGGGUCAAAUGGUAAACAAAAGGUCAAAAGGUAAACAAGCCCAUAUCUAUGGUUUCAGCUAAGAGCUCAGAGGGGAGCUAGCUAGUUACUCAUUAUCGCAAUGAAUUAGCAUAACACUAAGGAGAAUUACAUAACAAAACAGUUUAAAAUUGUUCAUGUUUGGUGAUCUCUUUGUUGCUGUUGUUUAAAGACAGGGAAAGAAAGGGAAAAAAAUGAGAAAGAAGAUAAAGGAAAAAAAGAGAAGAAAGAGAGAAGAGAAAAAGCAUGAUUGGGCUUUCAUGAAGUUUAGCAAGGUAAGCAUCCUUUUGGGACGCAGUAAGGGAGGGGGAAGCUAAAGUUUCAAAAGUCACCCGAGUUCCCAUAGGAACAGAGGAGGGCCAAGGUGUCACCCACAAGGGAAGUCAGCCAAGACUCCCAAGUAUUCAACAGAGCAAAACCCCUCUCCCUGCCUCAGCAGAAAGCGAACUUUUGUACCACUUUGGAACAAAGUAUUUGGUACUUUUUCUCCUUCUAUUUGGUCCUAUUUUAAAAAAAAAAAAGUUGUUUAGUAAAUUUUAAUUAGUUCAAACUGCAUGAAUUUUUACUUUGUAAGAACUUAACUUUGGCAUAUAUGAAAAACUAUGUAAACAUUUAUACCUUACUUAGUAUUGGCUAGGCACUGUUCUAUGUGCUUUACAUAUAUCAAUUCAUUUAAUCAGAAUAGCAAUCCUAUAAGUAUCUGUUGUCAUCCGCAUUCUUCUGAUGAGGCACAGAGAGUAAGUAACUUGUCCAAGGCCACACAGCUGCUAAGCAAACCAGGGUUCAAACCCAGGCUAUCUGGCUCUGGAUUCUAUAUCUUUAAACAAUCAUAUUAGACUGCUUUCCCAGAACAAACAGGAUAAUCAGAAAUUAAACAUUUUGUCACAAGGAAUUUCUUUCUUCCUUUCUUUUCUUUUUUUUUAGAUGGAGUCUCACUCUGUCACCCAGGCUGGAGUGCAAUGGCGCGAUCUCGGGUCACUGCAAUCUCCGCCUCCCGGGUUCAAGCAAUUCUCCUUCCUCAGCCUCCUGAGUAGCUGGGAUUACAGAUGCCCACCACCACACCUGGCUAAUUUUUGUAUUUUUAGUAGAGACGGGGUUUGACCAUGUUGGUCAGGCUGGUCUCGAACCCCCAACCUCAGGUGAUCUGCCUGCCUCGGCCUCCCAAAUUGCUGGGAUUACAGGUGUGAGCCACUGUGCCCAGCCUAUAAUUUCCCUUUUUUUUUUUUUUUGAGAUGGAGUCUCGCUCUGUCA
rnacentral:lncRNA from 10 species